rnacentral:lncRNA from 1 species
UAUUUAUAAUUCAUGAAAUGUGACAGUAUUUUCUCCCACAUCCUUGGGCUACCAGAUUGCUAUUUUGGGAUUCUAAGUAGAGUUACCAAUAUAGAAGUUGCUCUUGAGAUUUUAGAAUGGAGCAACCCUAAAAAACACACAGCCUUGAAUAAUGCAUACUGUACUCACACAUGGCUGAAGCACUACCCUCCUUCUAUCUGGCAAGGCAGUUAUUUAUAGUGUCUUGUUUGCUUGCUGGCAGAGUCCAGCAAUGCAGGUAGAGGACAGUUUAUCGUAAGAAGCUCUGAAUAAUUUGGAAUCAGAUCUUUGAAAUCCAAUGUCUACCAAAUC